AAGUUGAUCGUAUGAAAGCGUCUUUCAUUUGAGAGGGAUUGAAGUUGAAAGUUAUCUUUCGAUCUUUCGGGAACCUGAAAAGUAGCAACACAAGAAAAAUUCAUAUCUUGGUUAGUAGAAACAUUCCUCACUACCCUUUCCACGUCUUUUUCUUUUGUUUCUUUUUCUAAUUCAUUUUCUCUUCUUUCUUCAAUUUCUUUUUCACUCUCAAUCUCUUUUUGCUCUUUUUCAUUCUCUUUUUCUUUUU
rnacentral:lncRNA from 1 species